rnacentral:lncRNA from 1 species
GCAGAUUCCUCCUUCCUCUGGGUCCCCCAGCACUUCAUGUAUGGCUGUAUGAUUUCCUGGCAAGUCUGUCUCCCCAGCGGACUGCAAACCCUGGAGGACAAGGGCCAAGGUACCUUGUGAGGGGGAAGCAGGCAACUGCAUUUACUCAGUGCCUGCUCCCUGCCAGGCCCUUACAGACAUCCUAUCCAACCCUCCCCACAAUCCCUCGUGGCCUGAACCUGUGGACGAAAAGGCAGAACACAAGAAGUGGGGGUUUUCCCGGAGGCAGCCGGCUGGGUCCCCACCUCAGGACCCCCACGGGUUGUGACUUUGGAGAAGGCAUCAUGGCUGAACGCCUUCCUCUCAAGCUUACAGGCUCAGAAACCUGGUUCUACCAGCACAGAGAGAGCAGGACAAUUUCUCAGGGGCAACAGCAUCCUGAGCAAGCUCACAGCCUAAUGUGGAUAAGCCGGAAUGCCAAGUGGGUGAUUCUCCAUAAACAACAUGGGUGUGCGUCCAGCACCUGCCACGCAUUGAGCAUUGAGUGCUCUGACAUGGUUUAACCCACUGUCCCUCACAAGAAUGAGGCAGGUAUUAUCAGUAUCCUCAUUUUAUUGUUGAGGAAACUGAGGCACAGGAAGGUCAAGUAACCUGCCCAAGGUCACCAGCCAGGAAGUGACAGAGCCAGAAUUUGAACGUGGUUCUGAUGUGGAUCAAGGCUGCCCCAGGGAGAGAAGCCCAAGGUGUCCUGGCCUACAUGCCAAUCUAUAUGACCUGAUUCAUAUCUGAAGUUAUACGACCACAGAAUAACCAGACCCACCUGCACUGAUACCAUUUUAAUGACUUUUUACAUCAUCUUUCUUUGUCUGGUAAAAAUAAAUCAUGUACCCAUGUCUUACAAAUUUAGCCCCAACCCUCAACACAUUGUAGCUCUUCACUGCCCAUGGGUCCUGUCCCCACACCUGCAGCUCUUCACUGCCCAUGGGUCCUGUCCCCAUGCCUGCAUACCUUCACUGCCCAUGGGUCCUUUCCCCAUGCCUGCAGCCCUUCACUGCCCAUGGGUCAUGUCCCCUGCCUGCAGCCCUUCACCGUCCAUGGGUCCUGUCCCCAUGCCUGCAGCUCUUCACUGCCCAUGGGUCCUUUCCCCACGCCUGCAGCCCUUCACUGUCCAUGGGUCCUUUCCCCACGCCUGCAGCUCUUCACUGCCCAUGGGUCCUUUCCCCACGCCUGCAGCUCUUCACUGCCCACGGGUCCUGUCCCCACGCCUGCAGCCCUUCACUGCCCACGGGUCCUUUCCCCAUGCCUGCAGCCCUUCACUGCCCACGGGUCCUUUCCCCAUGCCUGCAGCUUUUCACUGCCCAUGGGUCCUGUCCCCAAGCUGCAGCUCUCACUGCCCAUGGGUCCUGUCCCCAUGCUAUUCUCUGAAUAAAAGAGCACUACUACCAGACCUUGAGAGUCCAAGACAUGUUUCUUUCAAUUCCUUGGCUCGCUGAGCCCGCAUCAGUUCAGUUCUCUUAACUAUUUUGGUAAACAAUGAGAAAUAAUUUCUGAAGGGGAAAGUUAUUCUCAUCUUCCGAUAGCAAGUUUUAUCCCUGUGGAGAAGCCAAAUAGUGCCACAAGAGGGUUACCUGGUGAGCAUGUUCCCAUGACUCAAGCAUCCGAUGAGGUCGGAGGAGUCUAAUGCAUCCCCUUCCACAAAAACACCACACCUGCCCUGGCACCCUCCCCUCAGCAGCUCCUAGACCCAUCUAGACACCUGCUACUCUUUCUGGGGGUCUGUGGUUCCUCAGGUCUCAUUCUGAUUAACAAGUUAACAUCUUCAGCUAAUCCUGUUCUUUCUACCUCACCAACUAUUUAAGAGAAGGAAUCAUUAAGAUCCACAGCUACCUCAGAACCCUGGCCCAGCCUGGUGUGUCUGCUUCCUCCCCUACUCAUGCUGGCCUCAGCAACCCACCCCAGUAGGCUCCCUGUUCCAAGCCUCCCUGGGGUCCCCACCUUUCACCCCAGAGGGUAUGGCCAGAAUGGUCACCCACUCCACACCAUACCCCUCAGUUUCUAUCCACACUGUACACAGGAGUGGUCCUGGCCUCCCUUGCUGUGGCAGCCCAUGCUUCCCUCUCCUUGUCACCCACAACACCCACUUUUCCUCUGGGGUCUUUGCCACCAUCUCUAUUCAUCUUUUGCAUUGCAGUUUCCUGCACUCUUGGCCCUCAACCUCCAAGAUUCAGGCUGGUCUCCACCGCUUUGACCAGUCUCCCAGGUAGGGUCAUUCCCACCUGUUCCCUUCUUCCUAGCCUCAGCGUGGUCUCCACUCCCCACUACUUCCAAUUACUCAGCACACCGAUUAAAUGUUCUGGAUUUUCCAAGACUACAUUUAUUUCAACUAUGCUGUCGCAUCAUCAGACCAUUUGACCCAAUUUUUGGACAAGAAAUAUAGUCAAUGUAGAUUUAUUGCGCCUAGAUAUCAUUUUUGUAAUUGGUGCCACAUGCGCAGGAUAUAAAAACAAAAUGCAUCAAAGGGUAUAGAGGGAAAAUUGAGUCUCUUCUCAGCCCUGUUCCCCAGGCCCACGGACCCCCAGUUCUCCUACCCAGACACAGCGGCUGCGAGCGGUUUCUUAUCCCUUCAGAGAGAGGCCGUGAAUCUCUGAGCUGGAUGGGACUGGCCGUGCUCCAUCAACAGCACUGGCAAUUUCCUAACCAUUUAUAUGUUUCAAAUUAUUUGAAGAAAGAAAAUAAAAAAGUUCAACUUCAGUCCCACACCUAAAUUAGCCCAUGGUAUUUCUCUAAAUUGUAUUCCAAUAUUUUACCCACAGGCACACGUUUUCAUUGUUUAAUCCCAGUGUUGUAAAAAGUCGAGUUCUAUUUCCAUCGCUAACUUCAUACACACAUUUCAUUUUCAUUAUUUUUAACAGAUAGUAAUUUGGGCUAAAACUCAAUUAUUGGGUUUUUGUUUCAAGUUUUCACAUUAUACACAAUAUCAGUAUAACUAUCUGUAACUUUUUCUUCUUUGAAUUCUUACUUUAGGGUAAGUUUCUAGAGUGGUAGCACUGAAUCUAGGGGAUGGACCAUGUCACAUUUAGCCAAAUAAUUCUCUUGGAAGGGUGACAGCAGUUUGUAAUGCCUCAUACAGAUAUGAGGAUACAUCUUACUUUUAUUCCAUCAAAUGCAAUAAUUAUACUUAUCAACAAAAAAUGCUUCCUCCUACCGUUCUCCCUUACCUAUCUGUGUAACAGAUAACUCAGGUCAACAUCACCAACUUAGGUUUCUGUGUUUAAUGCAGACUUCUGUUAGAGGCCGUCCUCAGAGCCAAGUGGAACAAGGUGAGUGACUGCUUGGAUUUCUAGGACCUUGGAGAGCUUACAGUCUUUGUUGCAUCCACGUGAAGCACACUUUGACAUGGUCAAGAAUGAAUGGGCACGUUCUGUCUCUCUCGGAACCUUGGGGUAUUCACAUCCACCGAGCUCUUUUUAGGUAUUCUACAAAAGGCAAUAGUCUUUCCAAUUUAUAUUCUUUUAAAAGUGACCUUCUCUUUUUUGCUUGUUAUUGCAGAUGUAUUUUCCUUAUUGUUUAAAAUGUAUAUAAGACCCUCCCACUUUGGAGAGCAAGACCUGGACUUGUACUUGGGCUUUUCACAUGCUAGUUAUAUCUCUUGGGCAAAUCCCUUAGCCUCUUGGAGGCCAAUUUCUAUCAGCAAAAUAGGAGAAUAAUAACAUCUGUCCACACCUCAUAUUUGUUGUGAAGAGCAAAUAAAAAGAUGUCUGAGCGUCAAAACUGUCUUGUAAAUAAGAAGUCCCUCUUCAAAUGUUCAUACUAUUCUAUUAGACCAUACGACUCUUCUCUAUUUCAAAUCCAAUCUCUUAUUGGUUCUGGAAAAAUGUAUUAUUGGCUCUUUAUUUAUUGAUUUAAUGCCUUUUAUUUUGUCUGCUUAUUCAGGAAGUCUAGCUCUUCAGAAAUUGCCAUGCUGAACUCUAUUCCCCAGAUCUGACCUCCUGAAAUAUUUCAUUUCUUAAUUUACUUUCUUAAAAUUCUGGAUAUAUUGCUCAAGUUUUUUUACCGAUUUAAGUGCCGUUUCUGCUUUGUGCAGCUUAAACCACAUUUUCAGUUUGUCUUUUGCAAUGGUCAUUAAUUACCUUCAUUCUUUUUAAUUCUGACCUUCUCUCACUUGAGACGAUGGCAUGUCCACUUCAUUUCCUUGACAAGAGGCUCCAACCAUUUUCUGAAUUCUGUGUGCUUCCCUGCAGUUACUCUUUUCCAGGAGUAAUUAAAAUAAAAUUUUCUGUACGUUCUUUGGUCUUUUUUGAGUGAUGAAACUUUUUCGGGGAGCCAGCAUUUUUUUCCAGUUUAAUGCAUAUUCCCCUAAAUUACCUUGGUGACUGACCUCUCCUGCACUGUUGAAAAUUCUUUAGUAAAAUUCCUGAUUGUUUGUAAUAGAAUUUGUGAUUAUGAGUUUGGUUGGGUUUCUACUCAGUCCGCUAUCUUCCUGGAUAAUUUUCCUAUCAUGUCAGAUCUUUCUAUCCUCUGGUUCAACAGAGUCUGGAAAGAAUCCAAAGACCAAAGAUGAGAUUGGAACCAGAGAGCCAAACGUUUUCCAGAGAAAACUGAAAAAUGCCUUUUCGUGCUUUGUCACUGCUGUUAAGGUUCAAGCUGGGCCUAAAAGAGGGGGAACGAGGAUGGCAUAGUGAAAUAAAAUUUUACCACAAACCCUUCAAUAACUCUACUUAUUAACUGCAAUCCUGACGUUUCUGAAUCUUCCAGGCAUCUUGCAAGCAGCAAAGGCUACAUUGGUUUCCUUAGCUAUAAAGGAAGAGGAUGCUAAGUUCUUUCCAAGGUCUUUUUCUGGCUCUGAAUUUCUACAACAUUAAAUAAUAUUUAAGCUGUAGGUUCAGGCAUUAAUUGAUGUGACCAGAAUUCUCCCCACUUCCUGUUACCCCACCUUCAAAAUGUGCACAUAUGUGUUUGUGCACGAGUGCAUGCACACUUGCACAAACACACACCCUUACUUUAAUUUCCCAAUUUGUAAAUUUUUCAAAUCAACUGUUAUUAAACAUAUAAUGAACCAGUGAAAGGGAAAAUGAUGGAACUGAAAGAGGAAAUUCCUCCCUCUGGAAUCAGAGCAGCCUCUAUUCCUCCAGAUCUGCUUCAACACAUGAGGUCCCUAAAAGUAGACGCCACAAGGCAGCAUCCUGCCAAGGCAUGGGCGAGGCACCAAGUCACAGUCGCGCCUCUGUGAAGGGAGGCCCUGUCCCCCUCUGGUGGACACACCUAGAAUUGCAGCCUUCUCUGCCUCUGAUAAGGCGCCAGCGCCCACCUGGGAUGAAAUGCUUGGAUGGCUCUACCACUGACCUGAAACCCUAAGCAAGGGCCUGCCUGUGAGGGACAGGCUGCGUCUUUGCCUCAGAAAUGGAUCCUUGUGUCGUUUUGAGGCAAGCUAUCCCUGCAGCUGUUAGAUUCGAGGCUCAAGAAAGCUGGGCUGGAUUUCAAACUGGCUAGCAUUAAACGGCCUACAUCUUUACCGGAUUUUGGGUUCCAGCACAAGAAAUUUGUUUUAAUUGAAGUAAUUCAGAAUGAAGUUAAUCAGAACGAAGUUGCUGACCUCAGGGAUCUUGUCUCUCCUUUGAACUUCAAUUACACUUAGUUUACGCUGUCAAAACUGGUGUCUCAAGAAGACACCAAGAAGACAUCUCAAGAAGACAUCUGUGACAACUAGCAGCAGAGAAGUGAGGGAUGGAAUUGUUUUGACAAGCUGUGAAUGACAGGACUGUGGCUACUUUAAAUUAUUGAUCAGCCAAUAUUUAAUGCACGCCUAUAUGCCUACCCAUUCAGAGAUGGAAAAGAGUGCAGAUCUGCUCAAGAAUUUGAUCUAGCCCGACAAAGACAGAGCCCUCAGAAGUAGGCUGUCUUUUGCCGAGGCGAGUGAUGGGCCCUAUUCAUUUCACACCGUUGGCCUCUUACACUGUUCCAAAAGCAGGACAGGAGAACUGAAACUGCUUUGCAUAAUAAUGUCAAAUGUUAUCUCCAGAGAGGGCAGGCUGGCAUCUCUAAGGAAACGGUUCUCUUUCUUAAUGUGGAUUUAGACUGCAUUGUCCCUAAGAAUUGCUGUUCGUUCUUGGAAGGAGUGUACGUCUGUGUGUGUGUGUCUCUGUGUGAGUGUAUGUGUGUGAGUGCAUGUGUGUGUUCAUUUGAUCCUGAAAUUCCUCACUGGAAAAUGGAACGCCUCAGGAGGGGUGAGAGGACAUUUCUUCAUCUCAUACUAGCAGAGAGAUCUCAAGGAGAACGCGUGGCGCUCCGAACAAGACUUGUACUGUGGUGCUGGCCCCAGACUGCCAAAGCUCACCCUGCAAUUGUCCACAAAAGCUCCCCGUUGAAUAACUCAAGCUGGCAAGAAAUGUAAAGAUGUGAUUCUCGCCUCGGAAUGCCCUGAUACUCUGUUUCAGGGGAAAGGACAGAUCCUCCAGGAGAACAACCCCUCUCUGCCGGGAGUGGGAAGAUUCUGAAGAAAGGAGACUGUCAGUGAGUCCUCAGCAAAGCCGAUGCCUGGUUGGAGUUGAGUUUAAAGGUUCAGUCAGAAUAACACCUGUGAAACAAAAGGGAGGAAGCAGGACUGAGAAGAAGGAGCUGUUAGACGGUGAGAUGCAGAUCUGACGAACACCAGCCCAACAGGAAGCUCCAAAACAAAGAUGGCCUGCUGGAGGAGCCCCAUUUUAGGCAGAAAUGACGAGGUCCUGGUACCCCCGUCCUGCUCAGUUACCGGCUGGUGCCACCCUGAGAAGGAGUUAACUGUCAGCUGGAGGCUGACAGCUAAUCAAGCUCCCAGCAGCCAGCACGAGUGCUUUCUAGGAGGAUCUGAGCUGUUAUCUGCAUCUCCGUGUCUGCCACAGGGACUGUCUCUGAGGAAGGAAAAUGGGGGAAACCACAAUUUUGAAAACAUUGCUGGGAAUUUCUUUGUGCCCAUAAAGGACCCAACCAGAAGUCAUGUUAGGCAUCUUAUUUGGAGCAUCUGUCCCCCUAUAUUGUAAUUCAAAUCUUCAGUGAAUUUCUUAGUGCAUUGUGAGGAAUACAGGAUAAGGCAACUGGAUGCUGUACCCACACAGAAACCAUGCAGACUAUAAUCCUGGAGGUCCCAGCAUUGACCAGCAGAAAACACUGAGGCCCACAGUUGCUACCUGAAAAUAGAUUGGGGGACAUCCUCCACCACCACCACCCCUCCCCAAUUACUGAAGAAGAAAGCAAUCCUGGCGUGAGGGAAAAGAGAAGCUGAUGCCUGUCUCAUAGGAAUCUUUCACCUGCUGCUGUACAGAGCUCCUGAAAAGGACCUGAAGGAAGACUGGAUGGAUGAUUCCUAAAUGGUGUUCACGAACAGCUGCCUAAAUACAGAGCAGUCAGGAAAGAAAUCCAAAAACCAGAAAUUGAGUGAGAUAUACAACAGUUAUGAGAUUCUAGAUAGAGUAAUAUCUCACAAAAUUAAUAGUCCAUUACAUUUAAAUAGGCAGAGACUGUGUCAGUCUCUGGCACCUACAGAUUCAUUCACUGUUUUGGUUUUUUUUUUUUU